UUGCGGACGGGUGAGUAACGCGUGGGCAACCUGCCUUACACAGGGGGAUAACACUUAGAAAUAGGUGCUAAAACCGCAUAAGCGCACAGCUUCGCAUGAAGCGGUGUGAAAAACUCCGGUGGUGUAAGAUAGACCCGCGUCUGAUUAGCUUGUUGGCGGGGUAACGGCCCACCAAGGCGACGAUCAGUAGCCGGCCUGAGAGGGCGGACGGCCACAUUGGGACUGAGACACGGCCCAGACUCCUACGGGAGGCAGCAG
rnacentral:rRNA from 1 species